UACGUAGGGGGCAAGCGUUGUCCGGAUUUAUUGGGCGUAAAGAGCGUGUAGGCGGCCAGGGAGGUCCGUUGUGAAAACUCGAGGCUCAACCUCGAGACGCCGAUGGAAACCCCCUGGCUAGAGUCCGGAAGAGGAGAGUGGAAUUCCUGGUGUAGCGGUGAAAUGCGCAGAUAUCAGGAGGAACACCGGUGGCGAAGGCGGUUCUCUGGGCCUGUACUGACGCUGAGGAGCGAAAGCGUGGGGAGCGAACAGG
rnacentral:rRNA from 1 species